rnacentral:rRNA from 1 species
UACGAAGGGGGCUAGCGUUGCUCGGAAUCACUGGGCGUAAAGGGUGCGUAGGCGGGUCUUUAAGUCAGGGGUGAAAUCCUGGGGCUCAACUCCAGAACUGCCUUUGAUACUGAAGAUCUUGAGUUCGGGAGAGGUGAGUGGAACUGCGAGUGUAGAGGUGAAAUUCGUAGAUAUUCGCAAGAACACCAGUGGCGAAGGCGGCUCACUGGCCCGAUACUGACGCUGAGGAGCGAAAGCGUGGGGAGCGAACAGG